rnacentral:lncRNA from 1 species
CCUCAGAACAAAGGAGGUUGUCUCCUGGGGAAGAGCAGGCCCACGUCCAACAUCACUCUCUCUGGGAACCCUUCCCUUUUGAGGCAUAGCCGCCUCGUUUCCAAAGUAGACCUGGAUACCAUGACGAUAAAAAGCUGGACACACUGCCUCGGUGCAGAUCUGCUGGCUGUGUGAUCUUGGCUAGAGAUGGUCAUGUAAUCCAGUUCUGGUCAAAGACACGCCUGGACUCUGCAGAACCUCUGUUCUUCUUAGUAAAUGAGGAGCCCCUACUUUCUGCCUCGAACACAGCGUCCGAAGACAUGAUGAUCCAAGCUGUGGUAGCCUCUUGACUGUGAGGGGAUAUGUCUGGACUCUUCAAGGAAAUACAUUGAGGACAGCAGAAUAAAGAGAAAGAGAGAGUUUGAUGCUAACUUCAAGUCAUUGGACCAACCUGGGAUUGACUGCCGGCCUGCAGAUAUCUAGUAUAAGAUGUUGGCUGUGUGCCAUGGCCCAUGCCUGUAAUCCCAGCACUUUGGGUUGGGAGACCGAGGCAGGUGGAUCACGAGGUCAAGAGAUCGAGACCAUCCUGGCCAACAAGGUGAAACCCUGUCUCUACUAAAAUACAAAAUAUUAGCCAAGCAUGGUCACGUGGGCCUGUAGUCCCAGCUACUCGGGAAGCUGAGGCAGAGGAAUCGCUUGAACCCAGGAGGCGGAGGUUGCAGUGAGCCGAGAUCACAGCACUGCACUCCAGCCUGGCAACAGAGCAAGACUCUGUUUAAAAAAAAAAGAUGUCUUGAUUGUAUAGGCCUCUGUUAGCUGGUUAAUCCUAUUUGCUUACAGCAGAAUGCAUCCCAAUGAAUACAACAGGUAUACGUGCAAUGAAAGAGAGUUCAGUCCUAGGGAGACUGCAAGGGGGAAAAAGUAGGCUCUGGGGUAAAAUAAUUAAAUAAUUCUUCCUUUCAUGGUGGUCAUGAAAUGGUAGCUAACAUUUAUUUGCUUUGUGUUUUUUUUUUUUUCUUUGUGAAGCACCUGUCUGCUAUUGGUGCUAUAUGUUUUUGAAAAUUCAUUUUUACCUCUCCAAGCCCAUUUCCUCACUGGAUUCAUGGAAAGAUGAAGGAGAGACUGCAUGUGAAAAGGGUGGACAUACUUUCUGUCUGGCUGGCUGCCUGUCUUGUUCACUGCACUUUCCCAGCACUAGAUAAAGUUUUUUUUAUUUUGUUGUUUUAUUUUUAGAGACAGGGUCCCACCAUGUCAUCAAGGUUGGAGUGCAGUGGCACAAUCACAGCUCACUGUAACCUCAAAUUCCUGGGCUUAAGUGAUCCUCUCGCCUCAGCCACCUGUGUGGCUGAGACUACAGGGACACACUACCACUCCAGGCUAUUUUUUAAAAUUUUUUGUCAAGACAAGAUCUCGAUAUGUUACCCCAGCUGGUCUCUAACUCCUGGCUUCAAGCAAUCCCUCCCACCUCAGCCUCUCAAAGCACUGGGAUUACAGGCAUGAGCCAUCCCUAGUUAAAAUUUGGUAAAGAAUAAAGCUCUUUCCCUCCGGCUUAUAAAAUCAGGACUCAGUAGUUAUUGCCAAAUGUGCCCCAUUGGUUAAUUUGGAUCUUUCCCCAUUCCUUGCAUGUCCAUUGGCCAUUCGGGCUUCAUUCCUAGAAUAUAUAUUUUUUGGGGGAGAUGGGGUGGUGGGGAUGGAGUGUUGGUCUGUCACCCAAGCUGGAGUGCAGUGGUGUGAUCUCGGCUGACUGCAACCUCCGCCCCCUGGGUUCAAGCAAUUCUCCUGCCUCAGCCUCCCAAAUAGCUGGGACUACAGGUGCCCACCACCACGCCCGGCUCAUUUUCGUGUUUUUAGAAGAGACGGGGUUUCACCAU